rnacentral:rRNA from 1 species
UACGUAGGGGGCUAGCGUUGUCCGGAAUCAUUGGGCGUAAAGAGCGUGUAGGCGGCCCGGUAAGUCCGCUGUGAAAGUCGGGGGCUCAACCCUCGAAUGCCGGUGGAUACUGUCGGGCUCGAGUACGGAAGAGGCGAGUGGAAUUCCUGGUGUAGCGGUGAAAUGCGCAGAUAUCAGGAGGAACACCAAUUGCGAAGGCAGCUCGCUGGGACGUUACUGACGCUGAGACGCGAAAGCGUGGGGAGCAAACAGG